UACAGGGGGUGCAAGCGUUGCUCGGAAUUACUGGGCGUAAAGCGCGCGUAGGCGGCCACUUAAGUCGGAUGUGAAAGCCCCUGGCUCAACUGGGGAAGUGCACCCGAAACUGAAUGGCUUGAGUGCGAAAGAGGGUCGCGGAAUUCCCGGUGUAGAGGUGAAAUUCGUAGAUAUCGGGAGGAACACCAGUGGCGAAGGCGGCGACCUGGGCCAAUAUUGACGCUGAGGUGCGAAAGCGUGGGGAGCAAACAGG
rnacentral:rRNA from 1 species